GAUGAACGCUGGCGGCGUGCCUAAUACAUGCAAGUCGAGCGAAGAGGGGACGGGUGAGUAACACGUGGGUAACCUGCUAUAAGACUGGGGAUAAUUCGGGAAACCGGUGCUAAUACGGCAAAUUAAAGCAGGAUCCAGGUGGCAUUAGCUAGUUGGUAAGGUAACGGCUUACCAAGGCAACGAUGCAUAGCCGACCUGAGAGGGUGAUCGGCCACACUGGAACUGAGACACGGUCCAGACUCCUACGGGAGGCAGCAGUGGGGAAUCUUCCGCAAUGGGCGAAAGCCUGACGGAGCCACGCCGCGUGAGUGAAGAAGGUCUUCGGAUCGUAAAGCUCUGUUAGUGGGGAAGCGGUACCCAAAGAGAAAGCCCCGGCUAACUCCGUGCCAGCCGCCGCGGUAAUAC
rnacentral:rRNA from 1 species